AGGAGAAUGGCGUGAACCCAGGAGGUGGAGCUUGCAGUGAGCCGAGAUGAGGCCACUGCACUCCAGCCUGGGCAACAGAGCGAGACUCUGUCUCAAAAACAAAAAAAACAAGAAACAAAACAACAACAACACACACACACGUAUACGUAAUACAUAAGUGCAUAAGUGCAUAGAUAGAUAAAAUACACUCACAUAGAGACGUAUUCUUAUAUAUUUAUAUAAUACACUCAUGCAGGGUGAGAUAAUACACACUUUUUUGUACAUCUUCUUUUUCUGACCCACUUAAGGAUAUAUUGCACACAUAACGUGUGCCUUUUGCCCUUUACUAAGAAAAAAAAGUGUUUAUAUAACCGUGGUACAGCUAGCAAUUUCAGGAAAUUUGACCCUGACAUAGUACUGUUAUCUAAUCUAUGGUCCAUAUUCCAGUUUCAUCAAUUGUGUCAAGCAUGACCUGAACAGCUGUGGUUUGUGUUUCUGUUUGUUUUCCUUUGUUUUGGAGACAGGGUCUCACUCUGUCAUUCAGGCUGGAGUGCAGUGGUGCGAUUAUAGCUCACUGCAGCCUCCAACUCCUGGGCUCAAGUGAUCCUCCUGCCUCAGCCUCCUGAGCAGCUGGGACUACAGGCACAUGCCACCACACCAGGCUAAUUUUGGUAUUUUUUGGUAGAGACAGGGUUUAGUUACAUUGCCCAGGCUGGUCUCAAACUUGAACUCCUGAACUCAGGCGAUCCUCCCACCCCGGCAUCCCACAGACCUGGGAUUACAGGCAUGAGCCACUGUGCCUGGCCACAGCUGUUUUUUGUUUUGUUUUGUUUUUUUAAAAAAAACUGAGUCUCCCUCUUUUGCCCAGGCUGGAAUGCAGUGGCAUGAUCUCAGCUCACCACAACCUCAGCCUCCUGGGUUCAAGCAAUUCUCCUGCCUCAGCCUCCUGAGUAGCUGGGAAUACAGGCACACGCCACCAUGCCCAGCUAAUUUUUGUAUUUUUAGUAGAGAUGGGGUUUCACUAUGUUGGUCAGGCCGGUCUCGAACUCUGACCUCAUGAUCCUCCCGGAUACACUAUAAUGUGCUAGGAUUACAGGCGUAAGCCACCGCGCCCGGCCUCACAGCCAUGUUUUUUAUGAGCAGGACCCUAUCCAGAAUCAUCCACUGCAUUUCAUUGUCAUAUCCUGUUGGUCCUUUUUUUUUUUUUUUUUAAUCUGAGACAGGGUCGUUGUUAUGUUGCCGAGGCUGGUCUCAAAUCUGGACUCAAGCAAUCUUCCUGCCUCAGCCUACUGAGUAACUGGGAAUACAGGUGCAUUCGCUAUACCAGGCAGGGCACUGGCAUUUUUUGAGACACGGUCUCACUUUGUCACCAAGGCUGGAGUGCAGCAGUGAGAUCACAGCUCACUGCAGCCUCAACCUCCUGGGCUCAAGUGAUCCUCCCACCUCAGCCUCCUGAGUAGCUGGGACAACAGGCAUAAGCCACUAUGCCUGGCCAAACACUGAUAUUUUCGAGAUGUACACACCGGUUUUUUGUAGCACGUCCUCCAUUUUGCAUUUGUCUGAUGCAGAUGUUUCUUCCCCUUAAGGUGCCUGUUAUGUAUUUUUGGCAGUGAUGUUGUGUCCUUCUCAGUGUAUGAUAUCAGGAGGCACAUGAUAUCUGUUUGCUCAUUGGCACCAUGAAUGGUGCUAAGAUUUAACUACAUAAGUUGAAUCCUAGAUGGUCAAUGCUGCAAUGGGGUAAGCACACAGGCCUAGAAGAGUAUAGAAAAGAUGUCAAUCCCAUUAGGUAAGGAUUCCUGGAGCAGGGGUCCUAAGACUGAGAGAUGCUUGACAGAGUCCUAGACAAAGUGUACAGGAAAUAGAUGACUCAGGUUCAAGGAAGAGCAUGAAAAAUUCUCUCUGGCUUGAGACAUGCAGGAUUCUUCUCAGACAAGCCCACAAGGUUGUUAGGACUAUGUAAUGGCACAUCGUGUCCAGUGACUGGCCUCUACCGCCCCCAGCAACUAACCACAGUCUUCCUGCCACACUGUACUCACAUCCAGGUCACCAAGAAAGGUCAGCCCAAGAGCAGGACCUCAAACACUCAGGGCAGAAAGGAUGACUCAGAAUCUGGGCUGGUGCUCAGAAGGGAACGGGGUUGCCUUUCCACCCUCCCCUAUUAGCUUUUCCCCAUAAUUCCUUCCAGUCUGGGAACUUGUACAUUGCAGGGCAGACAGCUAUGAAGUCACUAAGGAAAUAAUAACUGUAGCAGCGUACAUUUAUUUAGUGCCACCUUUACACCAUCAGACACUUGUGUAAUCCAUUUUAUCUCAACCUCAAGUCGGUCCCUGAAAGGAGAUAAAUUGAGCUUCUGAGACCUUUAGGAAUUUGGACAAAGUCACACAGCUCAGAAGGGUCAAGAUUUGAACCUAGGCCAGGCGUGGUGGCUCAUGUCUGUAAUUCCAGCAAUUUGGGAGGCUGAGGUGGGCAGAUUACCUGAGAUCAGGAGUUUGAGACCAGCCAGGCCAACCUGGUGAAAACUUCUCUCUACUAAAAAUACAAAAUAUUAGCUGGGCAUGGUGGUGAGUGCUACCUCCCAGCUACUUGGGAGGCGGAGGCAGGAGAAUCGCUCUAACCUAGGAGGCAGAGGCUGCAGUGAGCCAAGAUCGCACAACUGCACUCCAGCCUGGGUGACAAAGCCAGAAUCCAUCUCAAAAAAAGAGAUAAAAAAAAAGAUUUGAACCUAGUUCUCUUUAGUUCCAAACCAUUGAAUCUCUCUUUCUGUCUUUUAAGACGGUGGCGGGGGAGGGCACGUGGGGUGGUGGUGGGAUGUCUUGCUGUGUUGCCAAGGCUGGAUUGGAACUACUGGGCCCAAGAAAUCCUCCCAUCUCAGCCUGCUCACUAGCUGGAAUUAACGGUGCCCAAAACCGUGACCUCUUUUAUUUUAUUUUUCAUUUAAUUUUGUUGUUGUUUUGUUUUUGAGACGGAGUCUCACUCUGUCGCCCAGGCUGGAGUGCAGUGGCACUAUCUCGGCUCACUGCAAGCUCCACCUCCUGGGUUCAUGCCAUUCGCCUGCCUCAGCCUCCCGAGUAGCUGGGAUUACAGGUGCCCGCCACCAGGCCCAGCUAAUUUUUUGUAUUUUUAGUAGAGAUGGGGUUUCACCGUGUUAGCCAGGAUGGUCUUGAUCUCCUGAUCUCAUGAUCCGCCCGCCUCGGCCUCCCAAAGUGCUGGGAUUACAGGCGUGAGCCACCGUACCUGGCCUAUUUUUAAAGCUUGUCAUUGUUUUGUAAUUUACGAUUUAUUUAUUUAUUUAUUUGAGACAGCGUCUUGUUCUGUCACCCAGGCUGGAGUGCAGUGGGGCGAUCUCGACUUACUACUACCUAUGCCUCCCAGCUUCAGGGGGUUCUUAUGCCUCAGCCUCCUGAGUAGCUGGGAUUACAGCUGCUGGCCACCAUGCCCGGCUAAUUUUUGUAUUUCUAGCAGAGACUGGGUUUCACCAUGUUGAUCUUGAACUCCUGAUCUCCAGUGAUCCACCCGCCUCGGCCUUCCAAAGUGUUGGGAUUACAGGCGUGAGCCAUCGCGCCCAGCCUAUUUUUAUUUUUGGGAAAUUAUUUUUACAACAAUAAGAAAAAGCUAGAGAUAGAUUCCCCCACUACCCCCCACCCCGAAAAUUCCUUCUCUGUAUAUACCCGGUUUGACAACCGCGGCCCCGGGGGGUUUACCCUAGAUAGCAGCGCCCUCUGGUGGUGAACUCGAGAGCAGCUGUUCUGGCCGCUCAGACGCGCUCCUUUCCCGCUGAUCCCAGGCGCCUGAGAGGAAGUUCAAGGCCUCCUGGCGGCUGCCCGCCCGCUGUGGGAGGCUCGAGAAGACUGAGUAAAUCAAGGGGGAAGUGGAGAUGAUGACGACGAUGAUGAUUUUUGAGACAGAGUCUCGCUCUGUCGCCCAGGCUGGAGUACAGUGGCGCGAUCUCGGCUCACUGCAACCUACACCUCCCGGGUUCAGGGGAUUCUCCUGCCUUGGCCUCCCAAGUAGCUGGGACUACAGGCGCACGCCACCACACCCGACUAACUUUUGUAUUUGUAGUAGAGAUGAGGUUUCACCAUGUUGGCCAGGCUGGUCUCAAACUCCUGACUUCAAGUGAUCCACCCGCUUCAGCCUCCCAAAUUGCUGGGAUUAUAGGCGUGAGCCACUGCACCCCGGUUGAGACAGUCUUGCUCUUGGCCCAGGCUGCAGUGCAGUGGCGUGAUCAUAGCUUACUGUAGCCUCAAAUUCCUGGGCUCAAUCAAUUCUGCCAUCUCAGCAUCCUGAGUAGCUGGGACUACGGGAACAUGCUACCAUCCCCAGCUAAUUUUUAAAAAUGUCUGCUGGGUGCAGUGGCUCAUGCCUGUAAUCCCAGCACUUUGGGAGGUCGAGGCGGGUGGAUUACGAGGUCAGCAGAUGGAGACCAUCCUGGCUAAUGCGGUGAAACCCCAUCUCUACUAAAAAUACAAAAAAUUAGCCAGGCAUGGUGGCAGGUGCCUGUAAUCCCAGCUACUAGGGAGGCUGAGGCAGGGGAAUUGCUUGAACCCUGGAGGCGGAGCUUGCAGUGAGCCGAGAUUGCGCCACUGCACUCCAGCCUGGGCGACAGAGCAAGACUCUGUCUCAAAAAUAAAUAAAUAAAUUUUCUAGAGACAGGGUCUUGCUUUGUUGCCCAGGCUGGUCUCAAACUCUCAGCCUCAAGCAAUUCUCCUGUCUUAGCCUCUCGAGGCACUAGGAUUACAGGCAUGCACACCACAACUGGCCAAUGCUGUCUUUUGAAGCUCCUGACUGGGGCCAAUUAGCUCUCAUGUCAGGGGUGUCAAUGUUCUGAGACAGGCCGGGCACAAUGGCUCACGCCUGUAAUCCCAGCAUUUUGGGAGGCAGAGGUGGGCGGAUCACCUGAGGUCAGGAAUUUGAGACCAGCCUCGCCAACAUGGUGAAACCCUGUCUCUACUAAAAAUACAAACAAUUAGCUGGGCUGAUAGCAGGUGCCUGUAAUCCCAGCUACUGGAGAGACUGAGGCUGAAGAAUUGCUUGAAUUCGGGAGGCGGAGCUUGCAGUGAGCUGAGAUCGCGCCACUGUACUCCAGCCUUGGCGACAGAGCGAGACUGUCUCAAAAAAAAAAAAAAAAAAAAAAAAAAAACUGUUCAGAGACAGGCGCAGUCUCUCUGGGCAGUUAAGCAUUCCAGAUGGGGGCAGGGGUGCCUUGGAGUUUCCAGGAGGCCCCUAAAAUGGCAAAGGAGCUGAAAGUGGCUCCCAAGGGGUUCAAUGUAUUCUGGAGUGCCCGGGAACCUCCUCCCUCUCUCUUUUCUUUUCUGACUCAAGCCUCAGCCUGGGACAGGGUGGGAGAGAGAAGGGUCACAUUUUCUACCAUGAACACCCAGGGUAUUAGGAAUGUGGGGGAGGAGGGAAGUUGUUUAAGAGGUCUAAGAGCAUCUUCCUCACCCACGCAAGCAAAAUUCCUUUUCUUUCUUUCUUUCUCUUUCCUUCUUUCUUUCUUUCUCUUUCUUUCUUUCUAUUUCCGUCCCUCCCUCUCUCUCUUUCUUUCUUUUCUCCCCUCUUUCUCUCUUUCUUCCUUCCAUCCUUCCCUCCCUCCCUCCUUUCUUCCUUUUUCUUUCCUUCUUUUUCUUUCUUUCUCUUUCCCUCCCUCCCUCUUUUUCUUUCUUCUUUUCCCCCCUUUCUCUCUUCCUUCCUUCCUUCCCUCCCUCCCUCCUUUCUUUCUUUCUUUCUUUCUUUCUUUCUUUGUCUCUCUUUUCUUUCUUUCUUUUUUUUUUGACAGAGUCUCGCUCUGUCACCCAGGCUGGAGUGCAGUGGCGCGAUCUUCGCUCACUGAAACCUCUGCCUCAGCCUCC
rnacentral:lncRNA from 1 species